GGCUCCGGCGCAAAAUCCUGCGGGAGAGGAGGUGGGGCGACGGUUCUGGAGGCAGCGCUCCCGCGGGCUGCCUCGUUGUGACUCCCCGGGCUCCCGCGGCGGUGGUGGCGCUCGCCUCGGAGUCUCCCGCGCGCACCCUAGCCGCCUCCUAGCGGCGCGGCGUCCUCUCCUAUGCCUAAAAUGACGAAUGUGUGAUUUCAGUGGAAUAAAUGGCGUCCAAAGUCACAGAUGCUAUAGUUUGGUAUCAAAAGAAGAUUGGAGCAUAUGAUCAACAAAUAUGGGAAAAAUCUGUUGAACAGAGGGAAAUCAAGUUUAUUAAAGUGGGGUUAAGGAAUAAACCAAAGAAAACAGCACAUGUAAAACCAGACCUCAUAGAUGUCGAUCUUGUAAGAGGGUCUGCAUUUGCUAAGGCAAAACCUGAAAGUCCAUGGACUUCUCUGACUAGAAAGGGAAUUGUUCGAGUUGUAUUUUUUCCCUUUUUCUUCCGGUGGUGGUUACAAGUAACAUCAAAAGUCAUCUUUUUCUGGCUUCUUGUCCUUUAUCUUCUUCAAGUUGCCGCAAUAGUAUUAUUCUGUUCCGCUUCCAGCCCGCAUAGCAUACCUCUGACGGAAGUGGUUGGGCCAGUAUGGCUGAUGCUGCUCCUGGGAACUGUGCACUGCCAGAUCGUCUCAACAAGGACACCCAAACCUCCGCCAAGUGCAGGGGGUAAAAGAAGAAGGAAAUUAAGAAAAGCAGCCCAUUUGGAAGUACAUAGGGAAGGAGAUGGCUCUAGUACCACUGAUAACACACAGGAGGGAGGAGUUCAGAGUCAUGCUGCAACUGCCUCUUACAGCGUUGGCACAGUCUUCAGAGAUCUCUGGCAUGCUGCUUUCUUUUUAUCAGGAUCAAAGAAAGCAAAGAAUUCAAUUGAUAAAUCAACUGAGACUGACAAUGGCUAUGUAUCCCUUGAUGGGAAAAAGACUGUUAAAAGCAGUGAAGGUGGAGUACAAAGCCAUGAACCUCAGUGUGAAACUCUUCGACCAGAAGAGACAGCCUGGAGCACAGGCACACUGAGGAACAUUCCCAGCAAAGAUACCCAAAGGACAGUAACAAAUAUCUCUGAUGAAGUCUCCAGUGAAGAAGGUCCUGAAACAGGAUACCCAUUACGCCGUCAUGACAGGACUUCUGAGAGUAUUCUUCGGAAUAGAAAGUCACACCAUUAUAAGAAAUAUUACCCUAAUGAGGAUGCCCCUAAAUCGGGUACUAGUUGCAGCUCUCGCUGUUCAAGUUCCAGACAGGAUUCUGAGAGCACAAGGCCAGAAUCUGAAACAGAAGAUGUAUUAUGGGAAGACUUGUUACAUUGUGCAGAAUGCCGAUCAUCUUGUACCAGUGAGACAGAUGUGGAAAGUCCUCAGAUUAAUCCAUGUGUGAAAAAAGAAUAUAGAGACGACCCUUUUCAUCAGAGUCAUUUGCCCUGGCUCCAUAGUCCCCACCCGGGAUUAGAAAAAAUAAGUGCUAUCGUAUGGGAAGGUAAUGACUGCAAGAAAGCGGACAUGUCUGUACUUGAAAUCAGUGGAAUGAUAAUGAACAGGGUAAACAGCCACAUACCGGGAAUAGGAUACCAGAUUUUUGGAAAUGCAAUCUCUCUAAUCCUGGGUUUAACUCCAUUUGUUUUCCGACUCUCCCAAGCUACAGACUUGGAACAACUCACAGCACAUUCUGCUUCAGAACUUUAUAUGAUUGCGUUUGGUUCUAAUGAAGAUAUCCUAGUUCUUUCUAUGGUUAUAAUAAGUUUUGUGGUUCGUGUGUCUCUUGUGUGGAUUUUCUUUUUUUUGCUCUGUGUAGCAGAAAGAACUUAUAAACAGCGAUUACUUUUUGCAAAACUCUUUGGACAUUUAACAUCGGCAAGGAGGGCUCGAAAAUCUGAGGUUCCCCAUUUCCGAUUGAAGAAAGUACAGAAUAUAAAAAUGUGGCUCUCUCUCCGGUCCUAUCUUAAGCGUCGAGGUCCUCAGCGAUCAGUUGAUGUAAUAGUUUCAUCUGCUUUCUUGUUGACUAUCUCAGUUGUAUUUAUCUGUUGUGCCCAGUUGCUUCAUGUACAUGAGAUCUUCCUUGAUUGUCACUACAAUUGGGAACUGGUAAUCUGGUGCAUCUCGUUAACACUUUUUCUCCUAAGAUUUGUUACCCUUGGAUCAGAAACAAGUAAAAAAUAUAGCAAUACCUCAAUAUUACUUACUGAACAGAUAAACCUCUACUUGAAAAUGGAGAAGAAACCUAACAAAAAAGAGGAACUGACACUAGUGAAUAAUGUUUUAAAACUGGCUACUAAACUGCUGAAGGAAUUGGACAGUCCCUUUAGAUUGUAUGGGCUUACAAUGAAUCCACUGCUUUAUAACAUCACCCAGGUUGUCAUCCUGUCAGCUGUUUCUGGUGUUAUCAGUGACUUGCUUGGAUUUAAUUUAAAGCUGUGGAAGAUUAAAUCAUGACAAUUCAGAGAAAAGAAGAUGUAGCCUCUUUUCCAGAAUAAGAGUACCAACUAAGCUGCCUGAAAGCAGUCACUGACUCUUUGCUUCAGGAGUCUCAGCUGGGAAAUUGAAGUGUUUACAUCAGACUGUCUUGUGCAAUUCUUAUAUUUAUUUCACUUGUUCACUGUUUUUUACAUUUAUUUUAGUCUUUAUAUUUUAUUUUUAUCAUUGAUGUACUUAGUUGUUGAAAGGGUGAUAAAACUGAUAUCCAGAUACUUGAGAUCCUGGUAAUUGCUCAUAAAUAAUUGACAGAAUAACAAAUUGUGAGAUUAGAAGCCAUUGCUAAACACUGUUUCUCCAUCAGUGCCGUGACUUGCCUUACUUGAAAAUUUCUUUAAUUUGGGAAUAUUGCUUUGGACUCAGCUGAACACAUGAAAUAUUUUCUUCAGUAAAUCAAGAUCCAGUCAAGGUUUCUCUUGAAUUAUUUUGGAACAAUACCAGAAUCUAUACUGAUUAAGCUGCAGUUUAAGCACCCUUCAGUAUUAAUAUAUAUGAUAUUACACAACAGGUCAACAAGUGCUCUUUGAUGAUAAAACUCUUAAUAGAGCAAUAAUUGUAAAUGGUUACCAUACUGUAAGAUAUUUUGAUAAAAAUUAAGUAGUAAUAAUUGUAUUUAUUUGAAACACUGGGCUGUUUGCACAGCUCCAACUGUGCAUGCUCAAAAUGUGCACUUUUUAAAUUGUUACUUUAAUGCGUAUCUUUAUAUAUGGGAUAUGUUAUAGUGUACUAGGGCAUGAUAUGGUAUCCUUUUGAGUGAGGUAUAUACUCAUCUCACAAGUGAAGUGCCUAUUGAUAUUACUAAAGUACAUUAUGUUUACUUAAGCAAAAUAAUUUUCUUCCCAUGGUACACUAUAGUGUAUGCUGUUCAUACCACAUUCAAAUGAACAACUUAAGAAUAAGGUUAAAAAUGAAUAAUAUAUUCUUCUGAUUACUAGUUAUAAACCUGUAUCCAAAUUUUCAGGAAAGACAGCUAUAGCUUGCAAAUUCUAUCCUCUAAACUUAAUCUGGUACACCUCUUCCCUCAACCUCCAAUUGUAAAAGGGCUAUUUUAGAUGCUUUUACCCUAGAAAGUUAACCCUUCCCCCGUGAAUAAUUUGCCAAGUGUCCAAAUGAAAACUUACCAUGUUGGCAUGUUAGGUAAAUAGGGCAAAUAUGAUGGUAUCUUACAUUGGGCCAUGAUUUUAAGUUAUUAUAUUUGUACAAUCAAAAAAUUUUAGGAGUUAAAUGAAACAUGAAAUGUUUUUGCAAACUUUUUUUUUUAACUGGUGUCUAGUUUCUAAAACAAAAUUUAUUUGAAACAAUCUAGAAUUAUCUUGGUGCAAGGUGUAUCAUGUUGAAUAUCCUCACUUUUUUUUUUUUUACCAUGUUUUAGGGUAUUUAAAAUUAUUAAUUGUAAAUAAUUUAUUUGAUUGGUGCAGUUUUAAUCUCCAAUCAUAAUCUUAAGAUCAGGAAUGUGUGGAGAACAGAGCCACGUUAUAGUAUCACUUUGCUCUCACCAUUCCUUUUGAUCAGCCUCAGUUCAGCCUCCUUGUGUAGUAUAUUUUCUUUCUGUAGAAAACAACAGAAGCAUUUUGUUUUAUUUGCCUAUGUUCUAAUAUGUUUAAUAAUGACCAAAGUGCAUUCUGAGUUUUUCGAGGAAUGUAUUACUGGAGCUUUAAGAACACACUUAUUUUCUCCUGUGAAAAAUUAGGCUUUGUCUGAUAUGUUUUUUCUUCCUCUAUUGUCUAAUGUUGAAGUUGUUUUUAGGAAUUAUAUUUUAUAAACUUUUUCAAAAUAAGGUACAUACCUAUACAGAACUUAACAUUUUGCACAGAAUAUAUCAAAUAUAUUUUGAGAAAAAAAGUACAGCAUCAGUUCUGUUAGGAAUAAAAAAAGGAAACUAUUGUAUCUCAAAAAAAAACCUAUUUCAGAAUGGAAAUAUUUUUGAGAAAAGUAGGUGAGUAAACUGAUUUAGGAAAAUGCUUGUUUUUGAUUGAAGUUUAUUUUACUUAGAGUUGGGAGUUGAUUUAUUGAGUACAGUGUACCUCUCAGCAACAUAGUAAUAAUAUGUGGAAUUAUGUCACUAAUGUGGGCAGCAUUAGAAUACUAAAAGGAAAAAGGUGUCAUUUUAAAUAAUUUCAGAACAUUAAUGAAACUGUUUCCAAAGCAGAAAAAUUGACAUUGCUGCCUUUAAGAAUACCAUGAAUGUAAGAAAUUUAAAGGAAAUUGUAACAUAUCACAUAAUAUAGAAAAGGCAGUUGAAAGAAUUGUGGCAGAUGUUGUGUGUUAACUUUUGUUUCUUUGCCACAUGUGUCAUAUUUGAAAGUUUGAGCAGCAAGUUUAAAAUAAAACAUUCUAUGACAGUGUUAAAUUGGAAGUGGUUUUUAAAUUAUUUUUCAAGUCUUACACAUUUCUAUAGUAAUUUUGUAUUUACUGUAGCAUAAACUUUAGCUAUAAGUGCUAGAUUUGAGGGGAGUGGGGAUAAAUUUUUUAAAACUUGGCCAGCACUUCAGAUUUUGUUAUGAUUCUCAGAACAUGAAGGAAGAAUACAUGCACAGGCCUUUCAUCACCAAAAUGCUAUGACAUCAUUAAUGUUUGUUUGCUUGUUUGUUUGUAUUUAAACACAGAAAACUGGCUGUAGCCUGGGAUAUUAAAAUUCAUUGUCAGAAGAAUAGUGGUGUUUUCAAUCAAAUGACUUUGCACGUGAACUCAGCACGGGAGAGUAUGGCCAUCAAUAAGAUCGAGUAGCAGAAGUCAUCUGUACUCUAAUGGAUCAUGGGUUCUGGAAUCAGGCAGAGCUGGGAUUCUUUGCAGCAUGUGUCUGAGCUUGGGCAAGUUACUUGACCUCCCUAAUCCUCGUCUCAUGAGAUGGAAAGCUGCUGCCGCUGGAGCAUGAAUUGGUCCUUUUUUUUGGCACUUCUCCGGAGACCCCGUUAGGGAUCGUUACAUGCUGACAGCACAUAUUGCUAUCCAUUAUGUUCACUUGGUGAAAGCAUCCAAGAAAAGCAUCAAAAGACCUGAAAUCUACUCCUGCCUCCGGCAUUUACCAGCAAUCUGAUUUGGGACCAACUACUCAAUCUCUCUGAGCCUGAAGUUCUCCAUUUAUAAGGAUUAAAGCAUGUGACAUGGACAUGCUCAGUGGCCACUGCUGACCAACAGGAAUGAGACCGCAGCACUGCCAUCAUGAUGUAAUGACUUUGCCUGAAGGAGCUUCAUCCCUGGGGAAUCGUAAGUCAACCUGCCAGUGAACGUUCAGAUUAAGCCACAGGGCUGGGACUCAGAGACCCGUGGCUGCCUUUUGGAUUAGAGUCUUCAGGAAGG